rnacentral:antisense_RNA from 1 species
CCUCCCUCUAAGUCUCCAGCUCCUUCCCCCUUACCAUGAAAUGAGCUUCACGAAAUUGUCAUUGAGCGCAAUGCCGGCCUUAGCAUCGAAGAUGGACGAGUGGGUAUCACCGAGAAGGUCCGUAGAGACGACCUGGGAGUCAGAAUUUCAAAGAUAAGUGUGUCCGGCAGAGCAAGGACCUCCAGGAGCUGAGGCCCCGACUCUUAGCUCUAUCGACCAUCCGUGCAUUCAUCUAUAAUAUUUGAUGUAGCCCUACUGUGUCCAGUCUCUGGACUGGAGGGUAUGACCAAGGCACUGUGUCGGGGUCUGGCCAAAGGGCACAGGUCACAAACACCCUCAUGCUGUACCAGUACAUCCUUUUCCUAGGAAUAAUGCAAGCAUUUGGAAUGGGCCAGCAUGGAGAGCCUCUCUGAGGGGUGGCCAUGAGCCUGGGUCUAGAUGACUAGAAAGAUCUGACCGGCUGUGGCCCUCAGCACAGUGUCUGAGGUGGAAGGAGCUGCAGGAACGCAGGAGCUGAGGGUUUUAGCCGUAGUGUCAUGAAAGGCCACAGGAGUGUUUUCAAUCCUGAAAACGGGUGAUGCAAUGUGAUUCCAUUAAAACAAAAGAUCCCGGUGACUGUGGGAAAGUGGACCUGCAGGAGUUAAUGCAGGGAGACAGCACCAAGGUGGACGUACAGGGGUGUCCACCAUGACCAUGGCAUCCACUCCUCACAGAGAAGGCACCUGGCCAUGGCCUGGCCCUGAGCGAGUAUUGAAAAAAAUGGGAACUGUUGUCUUUUGUUCACUAAGCAUGUAUUAGUCACCUGCUGUAUGCCAGGCUGGAGCCACAAAAGUGAAAAUGCAGCCCCUAAAUCCCUGUUUUCUUGGAAUGCACACACCACUGGGGCCAACAGUGACUAUGGAAUGAAAUUUCAGGUGAGGAAUAGGGCCACAAAAAGAACAUCUUUUGAGGGGGUGCCUUGCUGAAGAGGGAGGUUGAAGUAGAGACUUGGAGGAAGUAAGGACAGACUGUAUGGUCACCUGGCAAGGGAAGCAUUUCAGACCAAAGGAACAGCAAGUGCAAAGGCCCUGAGGCAGGGAGAUCUCCCUUGCCACCUCCAAGAAACUCCCUUGCAGUUUCUGUCUUGGCACAUUGAGAGCAGCUCCCUGGCAAGUGGAAAUCAUGUCCCUCCCCAGAGGGCUCCUCCCAGGGCUCCUCUCCUCAGCCCCUACCUCAUCCUCGGUGUAGGCAAGGAUGCCAGCCAUGGGCCCCUUGGCUGCUGCUUUUACAGCCUCCUUGAUGGCUGAGUAGGGGGCAGGCUGGGCGAGGCGGCAGGUCAGGUCCACGACAGACACAUCUGGGGUUGGUACCCGGAACGCCAUCCCUGUCAGCUUCCUGGAGAAUCCCCCAUGAGGAACAGGAGUCAGAACUUAGGGACGUUGCCCUCCAUUCCCCCUUGCCCUGUGGCUGGGCCAGGCCCCUGCUUUCCUCUUAAGGACUGAGGGCCGGGCCAGUCCAGUCCUCCCGGGGUAUGCCCCCACCCUGGUUGCAGCUUCUUGUCCUCAUACCCUUUGAGCUCUGGGAUGACUUUGGUCACCGCUUUCGCAGCCCCAGUGGAGGCUGGGAUGAUGUUCUGGUGGGCACCCCGCCCAUCUCGCCAGGCCUUCCUUGAUGGCCCGUCCACCGUCUUCUGGGUAGCCGUGUAGGAAUGGACUGUGGUCUUGGGGAAGAGAAGGACCAAGAUGAGGCCUUCAUGCUCCUGAGCUCCCAUGCCUCUUUUUUCCAGGACUAAGGUGGUGGCCUAGGUGUGAAGGCUGGUGGGGCCACCACCACAGACCACAGGAGGGGACAUGUGCAGGCCGGGGUCCAGCCUUGCCUGAGGGUUGCGCAGUGUUUUAAAUGACUUCUGCACUAGUGGGCCUCUCCUCCCGAAACCAGUCUCUCCCUCUUAACUCCAUACAGUAAGCAAGGCCAGGGAAGAAGAGGUUGGGUUUCCCUGCCAUCCUUCCUGCCCCAGCCCCUCAUCCUCAACUCACCAUCAAGCCUUCCACGAUCCCAAAUCGCUCGUGGAUGACUUUGGCGAGGGGAGCCAAACAGUUGGUGGUGCAGGAUGCGUUGCUGAAACAGCCAAGGUGUGCACGGGCACUGUGAGGUGGUGACCUCCCCAACUCAGCCCUCAACCUCCUCGGAGGCGCCAACGCUGACUGCUGUCAGCUAGCCCGGACCCUUUCUCCAUAUGCUGCCCGGGACGUGGACUCUGUGACUGUGAGGCCUGCCCAGCUGCUUUCUACUUCCCAGCCCUGACAACCUCACCACGAACCCUCCUAGACCCUCAGCUCCUGCAAUAGGAAGCUGGCUGCCAAGGGCCAGGAGAGUCCCUGAAAACAGACAGUGCAUUAAAGAAAAAGCUCCUGGAGGACUCCUGAAGCCUGAGGCAGCCUUGGGGCAGCGGUGGCUCAUGGUUUACAUUACAAAGGUUUAUCAUGAGUAACUGGGUGCUUUGCUUCUGCGAUUCUUGGCCAGUAUCGGUCUGUUUCCAUUGCCAUUGAGCCUGCUCCCCUCAAUGGGGGGUUCAAUCAAUGUUUGUAGGGUUUGUUUUGAGACAGGGUCUUCCUCUGUCGCCCAGGCUGGAGUGCAGUGGUGCAAUCAGAGCUCACUGCAGCCUUGAUCUUCCUGGCUCCAGCCAUCCUCCUGCCUUAGCCUCCUGAGUAGCUGGGACUACAGGCGCACACCACCAUGCCCAGCUAAUUUUUAAAUUUUUUUGUAGAGAUGGGAUCUCACUUUUGUUGCCCAGGGUGCUUUAGAACCCCUGGGCUCAAGUGAUCCUUGGCCUCCCACAGUGCUGGGAUUACAGGUGUGAGCCACCGUGCCUGUCCUCAUGGGUUUUCUUUGUUUUGUUUUGUUUUGUUUUGUUUUGUUUUUAAGACAGAGUCUCACUCUGUCACUCAGGCUGGAGUGCAGUGGCACGAUUUCUGCUCACUGCAACCUCCACCUUCUGGGUUCAAGCGAUUCUCCUGCCUCUGCCUCCCGAGUAGCUGGGGUUACAGGCAUGCAUUACCACACCUGGCUAGUUUUUUAUUGUUGUUGUUUUUUGUGUUUUUGGUGGUGACGGAGUUUUGCUCUGUUGGCCAGGCUGGUCUCAAACUCCUGACCUCAGGUGAUCCACCCACCUCAGCCUCCCAAAGUGCUGGGAUGACAGGCAUGAGCCGCUGCACCUGGCCUUGUGUUUUUUUUUUUUUUUUUAGUGAGUCAUUUUAUACAUGUUUACUGAACACCUGUCCUGUGCCCAUGUUCUAAGUGCCUUACCUGUAUUAAACUCACGUAACCUUCACAACCCA